rnacentral:lncRNA from 1 species
GAGGACUCUGAAGUCAGACUUUGCCAAUCUCACAAUUCUGCCCAAAGCCAAUGCUCCCUCAGACAUUCCCUCUGCCUUUUGUUUGAAUUUCUAAUUUUCUGUUUACCGAGAGGGCUGCCUGUUCACAUGAAUGAAAAAUCGCAGUUUGAUCUGAUUCAGAGUUUGUUUUUUUUAGUCCCUCCCUCAGCAUAACAGCUCACACAUCUGAGGGCUGCAGCUAAAAAGUGAUUUUUAAAGACUUCUCAUUGGCAAAGAAAUCAAUGGAAAGAAAUAUCCCCUUUUCUCCUUCUCUCUAUUCUGUUUUUAAUUUUUUCUUUCCUCUCCAGUCCCCUGCUAGGAAAGUUUUGUCUGAGGCCAUCCAACAUACUUUGUCAGAAAGUUGCCUUGUUAAGGAUGGGGGUCCUGCUGGGUGAACCAAGGAGGUGGUGAGUUCCCUACAGUCCUGGCAAUUAACUCAGCUCAAGGAAGAGGUAGAAUCAAACAAUUCCAUCAGGAAGAUUGAAUCCCAAGGCAAAGUCAUCUUUCAAAGACAGGGUUAUUGCUAACAUAUCUUCUUAGCAGCCUCCAAGGAGCAAGUCUCCAGAGGGGGUAAUAUUAAUUAGUGGGAGGGGUCAGAGAGGGAUGAUGUUCAAAAAAGAUGUAGAAGAAAGGGCUCAGGGUCCACUCUAUCACUUGAUCGCUGUGCUAUCUUGGGUAAGUUGGUUAACCUCUCUGAGCCUCAGUUUCUUUAUCUGUGAAAUGGGUCAGUGAAAAUAAAAGGGGCUGUAAAAAAAUUGUGGUAAGAACACUUCACAUGAGAACUACUCUCUUAAAUUUUUAAGUACACACUGCAGUAUUGUUAACCACUGGCAAAAUAGAUUUCUAGAACUUAUUCAUCUUGUGUAAUUGAAACUUGAUUCCUGUUGAACAGCAACUCCUCACUUACCCUUCCCCCAGCCAUCGGCAGCCGCUAUUCAACUCUCUGUUUCUGUUUGACGAUUUUAACAGGUGAAAUCAUACAGUAUUUCUGAUUUCCUUCUUUUAAAAAGGUGAAUACAAGUUCCCAUUGUGGCUCAGCAGGUUAAGAACCUGACAUAGUGUCCAUGAGGAUGUGGGUUUGAUCUCUGAUCUCACUCAAUGGGUUAAGGAUCUGGCAUUGCUGCAAGCUGCUGCAUAGGUCACAGAUGCAGCUCAAGCCUAAGUCCUGGCUCCAGGCCAUUUGAUCUUGAUCUUAAAUUCAAUUUCCAAAACCUCCAUCUUUACAUUCCUAAGUGAGGGAUUAAACUUGACCACAGUCUCUGUGAUAUUCUCGUGUGUUGUCCCUACCCACCCUUCCCAGAACCUCCUCCUGCAAAUGACCAGAUGAAGAAAAUUAGUCAAAGCUGUCCAAACCAGCAUAUUCACACAGAUAAUCCAAACCAAUUAGGAAAUGGGCAUGAAGUCAGUUCAGCAUCUUAUGAGGCUCCUAGCUUGACUUUCUUUAGCUCUAAAUCGAUAAGGCUGUUUGGGAGACAGAACUAAUUUAGGUGGAACACUUUCCUUGGAGGGUGGAGGUUGGGGGUAAAAAAGUAGCCAUGUAUGGCAGAUUAUAUUUUUCGAGGAUGGACAAUAGUAAUCUCCAGUCCUACAUGCUUACCUAGCCAUCAGGGGUCUAUGUCAUUUUCUCUUGAGCCUGGGUGACCUUUGUGACUACCUUGAGUAAUAGGAUAUCAACGGAAAUGGUGCCAUAUGACUGAUGUCCCAGGCUAGUCCGUAAAAAUGCUGUGCAGUUCACUCUUGUUCUCUUAGAACAUUCGCUUUUGGGACACAGACUCCAUGCUGUGUGGAAGCUUAGGCAACCUGUGGAGAGGAAACAAGCUCCCCAGUGCAUAGCUUUGGCUGGUUUCCUGACCUAAAACCAGCACCAAGUUGUUGGCCAUGCAAAAGGACCUCUUUGAAAGUGGAUCCAAAAGCACCCAAUUGAGCUGCCUCACCAGAUGCUGCUUGGGACAGAGGCUGGUCAUCUCUGUCAGGCCCUGCUCAAAUUGUAGGUUCAUGAGCCAAAUAAAUGAUCAUGGUUGCUUUAGGCCACUUAAGUUUUGGGGUGUUUUGUUGGGCAGCAAUAUAUAAAAGAUACAGCAUUGAACAGACACUUUCAUGACCUUUCUUAGUUUUGUGUGUAUGUAGGGAAUGAGUAGACUUAAAGAGCAAAUAGAAAAGAGGGCUGAAAAUGGGCUUCGAAGGGAUGUAUACCCCAGUCCUAAUAAUUAGCAUGAGAUCUAAUCAUUCACACACCCUGAAAAGUGAGGGAUAUUGUUACCAUCUCACAGUUGAGGAAAUUGAUGCCCAGAGAGCUGAAGUCUCUCAUCGAAGGUCACAAAACCAGUAUGUUGCAGGGCUUGCUCUUGAGCCCCAGUCUGUCUUCUUGACCACUGCAUGAUGCCAGACUCAAUUCUUUCUUGACCAGAGGCCUUUUCUUAACAGACUAUAACCAUUCAAUCAGGACAUUUUGGAGUCCCCAUUGUGAUUCAUUAUGCAUUUAAUAGUUACUUCUAAUACAUAUUUAGUGCUUACCACAUGUCAGGCACAUGAUAAGCACCUUACUUACUUAUUUCAUUUAAUUCUUACAAUUACCUUCAGGUUUCAGAUGAAGGACCUGAGGCUCUGAGAGGUUAAAUGACUCACUCAAGGUCACAUAGGUAGGAAAUGACAGCUCUGGGUCUGACACCAAUUCCCUACUUAUUAACCACUCCUACUUCCUAAUUUUAUGGAUAAAGAUGGGAAGUAGUAGGAACAGGGGGAGGGGGAAGGGAAUGGAAAUGGGAGGGAGGGAAAGAAGGAGAGACAAGGCAGGUGGGUUUUGUUGAUGCCACAAUGGGUCACUUUCAAAUAGAGACAUCCCCAGUGAGGGAGGGGUGUGCAGAUUGUCAAGCCAUUGUGCUGAAGACACCAAGUCUGGGCCUGGGGACUGGGGGCCAUUGCCUCCCAGAGAGCUAUUCUUCUUCCGGUUAUGUCUUAGAAAUAUAGGAAGUGAAGGAGAGAGUGUGUUGAAAUGAAAUACUGUGUAAUUCAUUUGUCUUCUUUACUGAGGAAACCUCCCUAUAAUUUAUCAGUAGGAAAGGUUUAAGUGAAUUUUGUAGUUCUUUUUAUGUGCCCUUAAAAGGCAGGUUCUACUUUGCCACUGGGGGCUUUUUCAUCAUUCUCUGAACCACAAGUGGGGUUGUGCUUCAGAAAAAGGAGAGAAUUUUAAGAAAAAUAAACAAGCAAGAUUUUUCACAACCAGAAGCUAUAUGCUCAAAUGCAAAGAGAAGGCAAAGUGUCCCCCAGAAUGUAAAUUUCUUUCUUUCUCCCCAAUACAGGGAGCAUGAACACACAAACACAUGAUCUAGCACAUGUGUAUAGCCAUACACAUAAUCCCCCAAAUAUAGUCAAACAUGGCACACACACAAACAGAUGCAUACACAUAGUCGUGCACGUAGACAGACAGACACACACAUCACUAGGAUUCCCUGAGCACUAGGCUUUUCAGGUGGCUCUCCUUCUCAAAUUAUAUCUAGUUUUUGGCCCUGAGGCUGGCAUGCUUGGGUUCACAUUCUGUUUCUGGCCCUUGUUGGUUUCAUAUCCUUGGUCAAGUCUCAUACCCUGUCUGUGCCUCAGUUUCCUCAUAGGUAAGAUGGAUGUAAUAAAAUAUCUAAUUCAGAGAGUUGCUGUGGGAAUUAAGUGAGUUAUUGCAUGUGUGAUGCUUAGAAAAGUGUCUGGCGCACAGCAGCUGUGAAAAUGUUAGUGAUUAUUGCUGCUGUGAGUUGGGUAAAUAUACCACUGUGAUCAUUAUCACCACCCACCCCUGGCUAUUGAACCCUUGAACCCUAGUGUGCUAGGCCCUGUGCCAGGUGGAAUACUUGAAUUACCUCCUUUAAUACUCAAAACAACUGCAUGAGGAGAGCACUGUUAUUUUGCCCCAGGAGGAAAUUGAGGCCUAGAAAGGUUCAAUAACUUGCCCAAGGUCACCCAUCCAGUAAAUGGAUAAACUGGGACUUGAACCUAGGUCUGUUUUAUUUCAAGCUCUUGUUUUCACUGUGUACAACAUAUGACUUCAGUCACAGGGUACUUAGCAGGAAAAUUCUCCUCUUCUAGGUUAUAAGUGCUCUAGGGACUGUUCCUGUCUUGUUCAUUGCUGUUUCUCAGCACAUAACAUGAGACCCAAGUCCAGGAAAUCCACUUCCCUUUGAAAGAAAAAUGAGUUCAUUCACCUUGCAGCACUGCAAAAAUUAAAUCGUCGUGGCCAAAAUAAAAAAGAGCCUGGCACAUAUCAGGGGCUCAAUAAAUGGCAACAUGAGGAUUUUUGUUGGAUUGAAGAAUAAAGGAUGACUCAGAGCCCCAAAUCUCCAGGGACUGGGAGAACAGCGGUGCCAUCAGUGGAACAGGGAAGGCAAAUUGGGUUGCUUUAAGGGAACACACAAAAGUUGGUUUGAUGGAGGUAGAAUGUGAGGUGCCAGCCAUCUGCCAAGUCCAUGUGGAAUGACUUAGCAGGCAGUUGGGAAAAGAGAGAUGAAAGAGGAGAAAGGGUCAUGACCGAAGUAGUGACCCUCCUUAGAGUUGAUAGAAGAGCCCUGGUGGGGGAAUGGAGCCCCUACAAUGGCCCCAGUGACCCCCACCUACUGGUCUAUAUGCCUUUGUGUAAUCCCCUCCUUUUGAAUGUGGAUGGGACUUAGACUUGAUUCUAAUGCAUAGAAUAUAGCAGAAGUGAUGGGAUGUCACUCCAAGAUUAAGUUAUAAGAGACUGUGGCUUCCCUCUUGGGUGUGUUCCCUUGAAUAACUCACUCUUGGGAAAGCCAACCACUACAUUGUGAAGCAGCACAUGAGUGAGCCUGGAAGUGGAUUCUCUCCCAGUCCUGCCUUGAGGUGGCUGCAGUCCCAGUGUUGCUGUGAGCUGUGGUGUAGGCCAGCAGCCACAGCUCCGACUGGACCUCUAGCCUGGGAACCUCCAUAUGCCA